AUUGAACGCUGGCGGCAGGCCUAACACAUGCAAGUCGGACGGUAGCACAGAGAGCUUGCUCUCGGGUGACGAGUGGCGGACGGGUGAGUAAUGUCUGGGGAUCUGCCCGAUAGAGGGGGAUAACCACUGGAAACGGUGGCUAAUACCGCAUAACGUCGCAAGACCAAAGAGGGGGACCUUCGGGCCUCUCACUAUCGGAUGAACCCAGAUGGGAUUAGCUAGUAGGCGGGGUAACGGCCCCCCGAGGCGACGAUCCCUAGCUGGUCUGAGAGGAUGACCAGCCACACUGGAACUGAGACACGGUCCAGACUCCUACGGGAGGCAGCAGUGGGGAAUAUUGCACAAUGGGCGCAAGCCUGAUGCAGCCAUGCCGCGUGUAUGAAGAAGGCCUUCGGGUUGUAAAGUACUUUCAGCGGGGAGGAAGGCGAUGUGGUUAAUAACCGCAUUGAUUGACGUUACCCGCAGAAGAAGCACCGGCUAACUCCGUGCCAGCAGCCGCCGUAA
rnacentral:rRNA from 1 species